UACGGAGGGGGCUAGCGUUGUUCGGAAUUACUGGGCGUAAAGCGCACGUAGGCGGCUUUGUAAGUUAGAGGUGAAAGCCCAGGGCUUAACCCUGGAAUUGCCUUUAAGACUGCAUCGCUAGAAUCGUGGAGAGGUGAGUGGAAUUCCGAGUGUAGAGGUGAAAUUCGUAGAUAUUCGGAAGAACACCAGUGGCGAAGGCGACUCACUGGACACGUAUUGACGCCGAGGUGCGAAAGCGUGGGGAGCAAACAGG
rnacentral:rRNA from 1 species